AUCAACUUUCGAUGGUAGGAUAGAGGCCUACCAUGGNNNNAACGGGUAACGGGGUGUUAGGGCACGACACCGGAGAGGGAGCCUGAGAAACGGCUACCACAUCCAAGGAUGGCAGCAGGCGCGCAAAUUACCCAAUCCCGACACGGGGAGGUAGUGACAAUAAAUAACAAUACGGGGUUCUUUCGGAUCUCGUAAUUGGAAUGAGUACAAUUUAAAUCUCUUAACGAGGAACAAUUGGAGGGCAAGUCUGGUGCCAGCAGCCGCGGUAAUUCCAGCUCCAAUAGCGUAUAUUAAAGUUGUUGCAGUUAAAAAGCUCGUAGUUGAAUUUCGGGAUCAGAUUGUCGGUCGUGCCUCGGUACGCACUGGCAUUAUUGGUUCCUACCUUCUGAAGAACCGCGAUGUCAUUAAUUUGGUGUCGUGAGGAAUCAGGACUGUUACUUUGAAAAAAUUAGAGUGUUUAAAGCAGGCGCACGCUUGAAUACAUUAGCAUGGAAUAAUGAAAUAGGACGUUUGAUUCUAUUUUGUUGGUUUCUAGGAUCGACGUAAUGAUUAAUAGGGAUAGUUGGGGGCAUUAGUAUUCAAUUGUCAGAGGUGAAAUUCUUGGAUUUAUUGAAGACUAACUACUGCGAAAGCAUUUGCCAAGGAUGUUUUCAUUAAUCAAGAACGAAAGUUAGGGGAUCGAAGACGAUCAGAUACCGUCGUAGUCUUAACCAUAAACUAUGCCGACUAGGGAUCGGAUGAUGUUAAUUUUAUAAUGACUCAUUCGGCGCCUUACGGGAAACCAAAGUGUUUGGGUUC
rnacentral:rRNA from 1 species